rnacentral:rRNA from 1 species
UACGAAGGGGGCUAGCGUUGCUCGGAAUUACUGGGCGUAAAGCGCACGUAGGCGGCUUUCUAAGUCGGGGGUGAAAUCCUGGAGCUCAACUCCAGAACUGCCUUCGAUACUGGAGAGCUCGAGUCCGGGAGAGGUGAGUGGAACUGCGAGUGUAGAGGUGAAAUUCGUAGAUAUUCGCAAGAACACCGGUGGCGAAGGCGGCUCACUGGCUCAUAUCUGACGCUCAGGCGCGACAGCGUGGGGAUCAAACAGG